rnacentral:rRNA from 1 species
GACGAACGCUGGCGGCGUGCUUAACACAUGCAAGUCGAACGGUAAGGCCCUUCGGGGUACACGAGUGGCGAACGGGUGAGUAACACGUGGGUGAUCUGCCCUGCACUUCGGGAUAAGCCUGGGAAACUGGGUCUAAUACCGGAUAGGACUCCGGACUGCAUGGUCUGGGGUGGAAAGCUUUUGCGGUGUGGGAUGGGCCCGCGGCCUAUCGGCUUGUUGGUGGGGUGAUGGCCUACCAAGGCGACGACGGGUAGCCGGCCUGAGAGGGGGACCGGCCACACUGGGAUUGAGAUACGGCCCAGACUCGUACGGGAGGCAGCAGUGGGGAAUAUUGCACAAUGGGCGCAAGCCUGAUGCAGCGACGCCGCGUGAGGGAUGACGGCCUUCGGGUUGUAAACCUCUUUCAGCAUCGACGAAGCGAAAGUGACGGUAGGUGCAGAAGAAGGACCGGCUAACUACGUGCCAGCCGCCGCCGUAA